GCAAAGGUGGCUCAGUUGGUAGAGCAUUGCGCUAACAAUCCAAAGGUCGAGGAUUCGAAUCCCAGGGAAAGCA